GGCUUAACACAUGCAAGUCGAGGGGCAGCAUUUUAGUUUGCUUGCAAACUGAAGAUGGCGACCGGCGCACGGGUGAGUAACACGUAUCCAACCUGCCGAUAACUCCGGGAUAGCCUUUCGAAAGAAAGAUUAAUACCGGAUAGCAUACGAAUAUCGCAUGAUAUUUUUAUUAAAGAAUUUCGGUUAUCGAUGGGGAUGCGUUCCAUUAGUUUGUUGGCGGGGUAACGGCCCACCAAGACUACGAUGGAUAGGGGUUCUGAGAGGAAGGUCCCCCACAUUGGAACUGAGACACGGUCCAAACUCCUACGGGAGGCAGCAGUGAGGAAUAUUGGUCAAUGGGCGCGAGCCUGAACCAGCCAAGUAGCGUGAAGGAUGAAGGCUCUAUGGGUCGUAAACUUCUUUUAUAUGGGAAUAAAGUUUUCCACGUGUGGAAUUUUGUAUGUACCAUAUGAAUAAGGAUCGGCUAACUCCGUGCCAGCAGCCGCGGUAAUACGGAGGAUCCGAGCGUUAUCCGGAUUUAUUGGGUUUAAAGGGAGCGUAGGUGGAUUGUUAAGUCAGUUGUGAAAGUUUGCGGCUCAACCGUAAAAUUGCAGUUGAAACUGGCAGUCUUGAGUACAGUAGAGGUGGGCGGAAUUCGUGGUGUAGCGGUGAAAUGCUUAGAUAUCACGAAGAACUCCGAUUGCGAAGGCAGCUCACUAGACUGUCACUGACACUGAUGCUCGAAAGUGUGGGUAUCAAACAGGAUUAGAUACCCUGGUAGUCCACACAGUAAACGAUGAAUACUCGCUGUUUGCGAUAUACAGUAAGCGGCCAAGCGAAAGCAUUAAGUAUUCCACCUGGGGAGUACGCCGGCAACGGUGAAACUCAAAGGAAUUGACGGGGGCCCGCACAAGCGGAGGAACAUGUGGUUUAAUUCGAUGAUACGCGAGGAACCUUACCCGGGCUUAAAUUGCAACAGAAUAUAUUGGAAACAGUAUAGCCGUAAGGCUGUUGUGAAGGUGCUGCAUGGUUGUCGUCAGCUCGUGCCGUGAGGUGUCGGCUUAAGUGCCAUAACGAGCGCAACCCUUAUCUUUAGUUACUAACAGGUCAUGCUGAGGACUCUAGAGAGACUGCCGUCGUAAGAUGUGAGGAAGGUGGGGAUGACGUCAAAUCAGCACGGCCCUUACGUCCGGGGCUACACACGUGUUACAAUGGGGGGUACAGAAGGCGGCUACCUGGUGACAGGAUGCUAAUCCCAAAAACCUCUCUCAGUUCGGAUCGAAGUCUGCAACCCGACUUCGUGAAGCUGGAUUCGCUAGUAAUCGCGCAUCAGCCAUGGCGCGGUGAAUACGUUCCCGGGCCUUGUACACACCGCCCGUCAAGCCAUGAAAGCCGGGGGUACCUGAAGUACGUAACCGCAAGGAGCGUCCUAGGGUAAAACUGGUAAUUGGGGCUAAGUCGU
rnacentral:rRNA from 1 species